rnacentral:rRNA from 1 species
AUUGAACGCUGGCGGCAGGCCUAACACAUGCAAGUCGAACGAGUAGCGGACGGGUGAGUAAUGUCGGGGAAACUGGCUGACGGAGGGGGAUAAAUACUGGAAAAGGUAGCUAAUACCGCAUAACAUCAGAUGUGCCCCGAUGGGAUUAGCUUGUAGGUGAGGUAACGGCUCACCAAGGCGACGAUCCCUAGCGGGCCUGAGAGGAGAACCAGCCACACUGGAACUGUGACACGGUCCCGAUUCCUACGGGCGGCAGCAGUGGGGAAGAUUGCACAAUGGGCGCAAGCCUGAUGCAGCCAUGCCGCGUGUGUGAAGAAGGUCUUCGGGUCGUAAUGUACUUUCAGCGGAGAGGCGUUACCCGCAGAAGAAGCACCGGCUAACUCCGUGCCAGCAGCCGCGGUAAUAC